GUAAAAACUCUGGUAAAGUUUUCAUGUCACACUUCAACUGCCACUGAGGAACUGUAUCAGGGGACAGAUAGAAAUUGACCACUUGGGCCAGUGCCUGGCCACUUUCAGAUAAGCUUUGAACAAGGAAGAAAGAAAGGGAAAAUGCAGGAAGAGUAAGUAGUAUAUCCACAUCUACAUUGACUCUGAUGCACUUAUGCAAACUUUGCUUCAACUUACAUCCACAUUGUUUAAAUUGCCCUCUAUCACGUGUGUGAAAGCAGAUAGAAGUUUGACAGCUGCUUUGAAACCUCUAGAG
rnacentral:lncRNA from 1 species